rnacentral:rRNA from 1 species
UACGUAGGGGGCAAGCGUUGUCCGGAAUCAUUGGGCGUAAAGAGCGCGUAGGCGGUCCGGUAAGUCCGCUCUGAAAGUCCGGGGCUCAACCCCGGGAGGCGGGCGGAUACUGUCGGGCUAGAGUCCGGAAGAGGCGAGUGGAAUUCUCGGUGUAGCGGUGAAAUGCGUAGAUAUCGAGAGGAACACCUGCGGCGAAGGCGGGUUGCUGGGCUGAUACUGACGCUGAGGCGCGAAAGCCAGGGGAGCGAACGGG